rnacentral:lncRNA from 1 species
UAAGGCCUUAGUUCUAUCCUUGGCUUUGGCACUUUUUUUUAUUUAAUUUUAUUUUCUUAGAAAUUUCAUUCUUUAUUUUAUUUUCCAUUCGUAAAUAUUUGAUUUAGAUUAAUCAUUUUUGUAUCCCCUAUUUAAUUUAAAUUAUUUUAAAACAUUGUUAUUUUUAUUCUAUUUUCAUUUUUUUUAAUUUUUUAAAUGCGUAAAAAAAAAGUUAUUUAUUUAUUCAUAUAUCUUUUAACUUAUUUAUAAUCAACUUACUUUGGGGGGUCCUUGUAUAUCAAGUUUUUGUGAGUGGAUCCAUUCAACUCCCUUUGUUUUCCAAUCUUCGUACUUCGAUCAUUUGAAUCUCAAACCUUCAUGUUAUCCAAUAUUCAAAUCAUUUUCUCAAUAAAAUCUGAAGAAAAAGAUUACCCUAGAUGGAAUAUUCA